ACGAAUAUUUCAAAAUCCCCCUAUUUUACAGUUAAACGAUAUGCGCACAUCCAUCAUCAGAUCAUGGUCAUGAGACACAACACAAUUUAGCAUAGUGUUUGAUUACCUAGAAGGUACAUGGAACCAUUUGAUGCAGGUUUAGACGAUAUAGUAUCCCCUAGUCUGCACAAAAGAUGACAAGAAGAUAGAUCAGAAGAGAAUAGCUCCAUUGCACCUUAGUAAAUGAAGAAAGGUGCAAUUUAAACAGAACUGAACAAAACAACUAAUGAUAGUAUCUUACGUAAAUGUAUAUUUCUGUGCUCCAGUUGUCGAAAUGCUGUUCUCUGAAGACAGAUGCCAUGAAAGGGUCUUGGCUGCAGUCCAAAUAUGAAAUGUUGUUUGUUGGUUCAUAUGAAAAGUAGCAUCCAUAAAAUUUGCAAUCUGAACAAAAAGGAACAAGAAGGUCCAUACCUGAAGGAUAAGGUUUAGGUUUUGAAUCCUGACCAUUGUCUGUUUGCAGGCGUGCAGCUUGAGUUCUUUUAUGACCGGUAGCUAGCUUGGCAAGUAAGUAUAGGCAAGAUUUAGCAUUUAAUUGGAAAAAACAGUGGAGAAGUUCUUAAUUGUAUACAUCCUUACAUGGUAGGAUAUAGUGCUUAUGAUGUUUAAAAGUUGUUCCACCAAUCUUCUGCUGCCUGAGGCCUGCUCUGUCGGUGAAGAUUUGGCAGGUGAGGAUUUGCUAUAAAUUGGAGGAUAGGAUAAACUGAUAUUGUCAGUUAAAUUGUCAUGGUUUGAUCAGCACAUACUGCAUGCAAAGCAGAUAUAGCUUUACCUGGUUUAAGCGUGCAACCUUCAGCUCAACCGUAGAGACCUCAGAAGCUUGCUGUUCAAACAGGUCCGUUAAUUUGUAUGCAACAGUACCAAGGUGAUCAACAGCAUUGACGACAGCUCGUACAGCAUAAUCUUUCAGGUUUUCCAGCACCCUAUAUCAGCAGAAAAGCUUCAAAUUAUGAAAAUACGAUGCACUAAGAAACAAUGCUUUAGAAUUACCAUAUGGUCUUUUUCUAAAAUAAACAUUUUAGAACCCAUGUUUCAGAAUUUCUUCUACAUUAACAAAUAUGAGAAAAGCCCCUAAUAGUAACAUGUGGGCUGCAAAAUUCCAAAUUGAAUAUACUAGUAGUAUACAGAGAUGGUGGUUAGAUAAAUCCAAAAUUCCAGAGAAUACAGACAUCCUAUAUUCUUCUUUAGGCAGUAGAGUUUGUUUUGUUGUCACAUCUCAACAUCAAGUCCCCUUGCCACACAUGUUGCUGUCCUCCUUCACUUAUUAGGUGGUUUUAGCCUCCAAUACCUAUCAUAUAAUUAACUGCUAGCACACGAUGUACCAACGAUUCGAUUCAAUUCAAUUCAACCCCUAAAACAAAAGACGAAAGUAGAGCUAGAUACCAUGCAAGAUGCAAAUUUACCACUGAUUUUAUGAUUGUAAAUUAAAAUGGUAAGUGGUAACAAAAUGCACCAAAGAGCUAAAACCUCACUCACAUCUGCUUCUGCUCGCUGUGGAGGUAGGAUUUCUCGCAGUACUCGGAGGCGGAGUAGAGCUGAGGCCGCAGGUUCUUGAGCUCCUGCACACGCACAGACGCAAGGCAUCACCACCACCACAAACCAAGAACCGGCC
rnacentral:sRNA from 1 species